rnacentral:rRNA from 1 species
CGCAUAMGUCCUACGGGAGAAAGCGGGGGACCUUCGGGCCUUGCGCUAUCAGAUGAGCCUAGGUCGGAUUAGCUAGUUGGUGGGGUAAUGGCUCACCAAGGCGACGAUCCGUAACUGGUCUGAGAGGAUGAUCAGUCACACUGGAACUGAGACACGGUCCAGACUCCUACGGGAGGCAGCAGUGGGGAAUAUUGGACAAUGGGCGAAAGCCUGAUCCAGCCAUGCCGCGUGUGUGAAGAAGGUCUUCGGAUUGUAAAGCACUUUAAGUUGGGAGGAAGGGYWGUARAUUAAUACUYUGCUGUUUUGACGUUACCGACAGAAUAAGCACCGGCUAACUCUGUGCCAGCAGCCGCGGUAAUACARAGGGUGCAAGCGUUAAUCGGAAUUACUGGGCGUAAAGCGCGCGUAGGUGGUUUGUUAAGUUGGAUGUGAAAUCCCCGGGCUCAACCUGGGAACUGCAUUCAAAACUGACRAGCUAGAGUAUG